rnacentral:rRNA from 1 species
UACGUAGGGUGCGAGCGUUGUCCGGAAUUAUUGGGCGUAAAAGAGCUUGUAGGCGGUUUGUCGCGUCUGCCGUGAAAAUUCGAGGCUCAACCUCGAACUUGCGGUGGGUACGGGCAGACUAGAGUGUGGUAGGGGAGACUGGAAUUCCUGGUGUAGCGGUGAAAUGCGCAGAUAUCAGGAGGAACACCGAUGGCGAAGGCAGGUCUCUGGGCCACUACUGACGCUGAGAAGCGAAAGCAUGGGGAGCGAACAGG